GAUGAAUGCUGGCGGCGUGCUUAACACAUGCAAGUCGAACGAAGCAUUUAGAACGGAUUACUUCGGUUUGAAGUUCUUUAUGACUGAGUGGCGGACGGGUGAGUAACGCGUGGGUAACCUGCCUUGUACUGGGGGAUAGCAGCUGGAAACGGCUGGUAAUACCGCAUAAGCGCACAAUGUUGCAUGACAUGGUGUGAAAAACUCCGGUGGUAUAAGAUGGACCCGCGUCUGAUUAGCAAGUUGGUGAGAUAACAGCCCACCAAGGUGACGAUCAGUGGCCGACCUGAGGGGGUGACCGGACACAUUGGGACUGAGACACGGCCCAGACUCCUACGGGAGGCAACAGUGGGGAAUAUUGCACAGUGGAGGAAACUCUGAUGCAGCGACGCCGCGUGAGUGAAGAAGUAAUUCGUUAUGUAAAGCUCUAUCAGCAGGGAAGAUAGUGACGGUACCUGACUAAGAAGCUCCGGCUAAACACGUGCCAGCCGCCGCCGUAA
rnacentral:rRNA from 1 species